CUACCACCAGGCUAUCGGUUACAGCACUUUAUGCUAGAUAAUUAACAGUCUUACAGGCAACAAACAAUUUAAUAUAUCUCAUAAUUGUUAGCAGGUUUGUUUGAUUCGGUUUAACGCCGUUCUCCAACAGUACAUGUAUAUAUACGACGGCCGGUUUUCAUGACUAUAUAUGUUUUCCUGAACCGUACCAUCACCAGUUCUAACUACCCAUCCACAAGCCGACAAGUUUUUUUGUCAAAUGUUCAUGACUCUAACUAUCGGCCUGUGAAAAUCAACAGAUUUGCAAUAGUCUUAUAGAGCUAGUGUACUUUCCCCGCCUGACUAUCUAGUUUAGCCAAACCAAACCAUAUAACUUUCUUGGUACAUACAUUAUUCCGACAUUCUCAAAGUCGGGAAAUAUCUGCCUCACUGGAUAAAUCCAUAGAAGUGGGGUUGUUCCAUACAGGGUCUUUCAUACCAUGAGGCCACAAACAUUUCUAAGAGACAAGCCAGGAGAAUUACAUC
rnacentral:sRNA from 1 species